GAUUGAACGCUGGCGGCAUGCCUUACACAUGCAAGUCGAACGGCAGCACGGGUGCUUGCACCUGGUGGCGAGUGGCGAACGGGUGAGUAAUACAUCGGAACAUGUCAUGUAGUGGGGGAUAGCCCGGCGAAAGCCGGAUUAAUACCGCAUACGAUCUACGGAUGAAAGCGGGGGAACUUCGGGCCUCGCGCUAUCGGGUUGGCCGAUGGCUGAUUAGCUAGUUGGUGGGGUGAAGGGCUAACCAGGCGACGAUCAGUAGCUGGUCUGAGAGGGCCACCAGCCCCAACGGGGCUUGGACCACGCCCCGACCCCUAAGGGAGGGCACCGUGGGGAAUUUUGGAACAAUGGGCAAAACCUGAUCCCACAAUGCCCCCUUUUUUAAAAAGGCCUUCGGGUUGUAAAGCACUUUUGUCCGGAAAGAAAUCCUUGGCCCUAAUACGGUCGGGGGAUGACGGUACCGGAAGAAUAAGCACUGGCUAACUACGUG
rnacentral:rRNA from 1 species